CUGAGCCACCCAGGUGCCCCUGUUAAUGGGGUCUUAAAUAGAGUUGCUAGAAAAAAAACUUUGGAGAAGUAAAUUGCUGAGACCCAAGAACCAGUAUGGUAGGGCAGGUGGAGUGGGGUGGACAGGUGUACUGGGAAAAUCUAUUGGCAAGUGGCACAGAUCUCAGCAGUGCUGUGGGUCACUGCCCCGAAAAGCUUACGGCGUAAGUACCAAAAGCCAGUCACACCUUUGAUUAUGAAGACCAACGGAAGGGAACAAUAAGAUCAUUCAGGACAACGGUUUUCUCAUCUCAGCUGUACCAGACGAAGAUUCCAGGAUGACUUUGGAGUGGAGCUUUUUGGUGAGGAUUCUGGGGUCAUGACGGUGAUGGAACACAACCACCUCGGGACCUGGUAGGUUUCUGGGAACUACCUGGCGGGUCAGUACAGCAUGUUUCCAAGGGCUGUGGCCGGGUGUGGCCAUGGGAUCUCCAACUGCAUGCGAGAGCAACCUGGAGAGACUUUGACAGCACAGGUCAGCAUAAUACCUGCAGCUGCCACUCAACUUUCCUAUAACAGCCCAGGACCUGGGUUGGAAGCCUUCUGCCCGAGUCCAGGUGUUUUCCAUAAACUUCCAUGAAGAUGGGUAUAUUGGAUGUAUUUCUGGUUUAGAGCUUUCCCACUUUUUUCUGCAGGUUGCCCCCACGUGUUCCUGUCAGUGUCUGCUACCGAAGAGUCUGAGGAUACCAGGUUGUUGCUGUGCUUUAGACAAGAUCUGUUACCAGUAAAGCUGUCCUUGUCUGUGAUUAUGGAUCUAUAGUUGGGACAGAAACACUGGGAAGAGGCAAGCUGAAAGAACAGAUUAUUUUAGUGGAAAACCAUGACCUUUGUAUUUUUGCUACGGGUGCCACAUGGCAUAUAAGUAACUAAUAAAAGACUUG